rnacentral:rRNA from 1 species
AGAGUUUGAUCCUGGCUCAGAACGAACGCUGGCGGCGUGCCUCAUACAUGCAAGUCGAGCGAGAAAGCUCCCUUCGGGGAGUGAGUACAGCGGCGCACGGGUGAGUAACACGUGGGCAAUCUACCUUGGAGUUUGGGAUAACCCGGGGAAACCCUGGCUAAUACCGGAUACGGCGCAGAGGUCCUCGGACCUCUACGAGAAAGUGGGCCUCUGCUUGCAUGCUCACGCUCCUUGAUGGGCCCGCGCCCCAUUAGCUUGUUGGUGAGGUAACGGCUCACCAAGGCUUUGAUGGGUAGCCGAUCUGAGAGGAUGAUCAGCCACACUGGAACUGAGAUACGGUCCAGACUCCUACGGGAGGCAGCAGUAGGGAAUUUUGGUCAAUGGGCGAAAGCCUGAACCAGCAACGCCGCGUGCAGGAUGAAGGCCCUCGGGUCGUAAACUGCUGUCAGGAGGGAAGAACGGCGGUCCGGUCAAUACCCGGGCCGCGUGACGGUACCUCCAAAGGAAGCACCGGCUAACUCCGUGCCAGCAGCCGCGGUAAUACGGAGGGUGCAAGCGUUGUUCGGAAUUACUGGGCGUAAAGCGCGUGUAGGCGGCGGGGCAAGUCGGAUGUGAAAGCCCAGGGCUCAACCCUGGAACUGCAUCCGAAACUGCCACGCUAGAGUCCCGGAGAGGAAGGCAGAAUUCCCAGUGUAGGGGUGAAAUCCGUAGAUAUUGGGAGGAAUACCAGUGGCGAAGGCGGCCUUCUGGACGGUGACUGACGCUCAGACGCGAAAGCGUGGGGAGCAAACAGGAUUAGAUACCCUGGUAGUCCACGCCGUAAACGUUGUGCACUAGGUGUCGGGGGUAUUCACCCCUCCGGUGCCGGAGCUAACGCAUUAAGUGCACCGCC